GACGAACGCUGGCGGCGUGCCUAAUACAUGCAAGUCGAACGAGAGCGACCGGUGCUUGCACUGGUCAAUCUAGUGGCGAAAGGGUGAGUAACACGUGGGUAACCUGCCCAUCAGAGGGGGAUAACAUUCGGAAACGGAUGCUAAAACCGCAUAGGUCUUCGAACCGCAUGGUUUGAAGAGGAAAAGAGGCGCAAGCUUCUGCUGAUGGAUGGACCCGCGGUGCAUUAGCUAGUUGGUGAGGUAACGGCUCACCAAGGCCGUGAUGCAUAGCCGACCUGAGAGGGUGAUCGGCCACAUUGGGACUGAGACACGGCCCAAACCCCUACGGGAGGCAGCAGUAGGGAAUCUUCCGCAAUGGACGCAAGUCUGACGGAGCAACGCCGCGUGAGUGAAGAAGGUUUUCGGAUCGUAAAACUCUGUUGUUAGAGAAGAAUAAGUGCUAGAGUAACUGUUAGCGCCUUGACGGUAUCUAACCAGAAAGCCACGGCUAACUACGUG
rnacentral:rRNA from 1 species